rnacentral:rRNA from 1 species
AUUGAACGCUGGCGGCAGGCCUAACACAUGCAAGUCGAACGAGUGGCGGACGGGUGAGUAAUGUCUGGGAAACUGCCUGAUGGAGGGGGAUAACUACUGGAAACGGUAGCUAAUACCGCUUACCAUCGUAUGUGCUCAGAUGGGAGUAGCUAGUAGGUGGGGUAAAGGCUCACCUAGGCGCCGAUCCCUAGCUGGUCUGAGAGGGUGACCAGCCCCACUGGAACUUGGACACGGUCCAGACUCCUCCGGAAGGCAGCAGUGGGGAAUAUUGCAAAAUGGGCGAAAGCCGGAUGCGUCCAUGCCGCGUGUAUGAAGAGGGCCUUCGGGUUGUAAAGUACUUUCAGCGGGGAGGCGUUACCCGCAGAAGAAGCACCGGCUAACUCCGUGCCAGCAGCCGCGGUAAUUC